GGGUAUCCCGUACGAGCGCACCCUUGUCCUUAGUUGCCUCAUGUAAAGCUGGGAACUCUAANGAGACUGCCNGUGACAANCCGGAGGAAGGUGGGGACGACGUCAAGUCAUCAUGGCCCUUACGACCUGGGCUACACACGUGCUACAAUGGCCAGUACAGAGGGCUGCAAUCCCGCGAGGGGGAGCGAAUCCCACAAAACUGGUCGUAGUCCGGAUCGCAGUCUGCAACUCGACUGCGUGAAGUUGGAAUCGCUAGUAAUCGUGAAUCACAAUGUCACGGUGAAUACGUUCCCGGGCCUUGUACACAC
rnacentral:rRNA from 1 species